rnacentral:Y_RNA from 1 species
GGCUGGUCCGAAGGUAGUGAGUUAUCUAAAUUGAUUGUUCACAGUCAGUUACAGAUCAAACUCCUUGUUCUACUCUCCCCUAUUCUCACUACUGCACUUGACUAGUCUAAA